rnacentral:rRNA from 1 species
GGGCCCGCACAAGCAGUGGAUUAUGUGGUUUAAUUCGAAGCAACGCGAAGAACCUUACCAGGGCUUGACAUCCAACGAACGGGGCAGAGAUGCCCUGGUGCCCUUCGGGGAGCGUUGAGACAGGUGGUGCAUGGUUGUCGUCAGCUCGUGUCGUGAGAUGUUGGGUUAAGUCCCGCAACGAGCGCAACCCUUAUUGCUAGUUGCUACGCGAGAGCACUCUAGCGAGACUGCCGUUGACAAAACGGAGGAAGGUGGGGACGACGUCAAAUCAUCAUGCCCCUUAUGUCCUGGGCUACACACGUAAUACAAUGGCGUUUAACAGAGGGAAGCAAGACCGCGAGGUGGAGCAAAUCCCUAAAAGGCGUCUCAGUUCGGAUCGCAGGCUGCAACCCGCCUGCGUGAAGUCGGAAUUGCUAGUAAUCGCGGAUCAGAAUGCCG